AAAGACGUAACGACAUUCCAUCGGUGGAGCAUCGUCUUUGCAAUUUCGUCGACAAGGAUGUUUCGUCCAGUCUAAUUCAUCCGCUAUCUCCGGGUCAAUGUCUCCGAAUUCAAAAUCAUUACGCAACGUUACAAUAGUUUCUAAAGAGCCGAAAGAAAGCAGCGAAGCAGUAAAAAUAGCUCUAUCAAAAAUAAUGUCACUUU
rnacentral:misc_RNA from 1 species